rnacentral:rRNA from 1 species
GACGAACGCUGGCGGCGUGCUUAACACAUGCAAGUCGAACGAUGAAGCCGCUUCGGUGGUGGAUUAGUGGCGAACGGGUGAGUAACACGUGGGCAAUCUGCCCUGCACUCUGGGACAAGCCCUGGAAACGGGGUCUAAUACCGGAUACGACCAUCGGCCGCAUGGCCUGGUGGUGGAAAGCUCUGGUGGUGCAGGAUGAGCCCGCGGCCUAUCAGCUUGUUGGUGGGGUGAUGGCCUACCUAGGCGACGACGGGUAGCCGGCCUGAGAGGGCGACCGGCCACACUGGGACUGAGACACGGCCCAGACUCCUACGGGAGGCAGCAGUGGGGAAUAUUGCACAAUGGGCGCAAGCCUGAUGCAGCGACGCCGCGUGAGGGAUGACGGCCUUCGGGUUGUAAACCUCUUUCAGCAGGGAAGAAGCUUUCGGGUGACGGUACCUGCAGAAGAAGCACCGGCUAACUACGUGCCAGCCGCCGCCGUAA